GUCCAGUCCACGAGUGAAGAAAGAAGAAGGAAGGAGUAUUAUUUGGUGGGCUGGGCUGGGCUACCGGGUGACUGCACAUGGGACCUGGGUGGGCUUCGGGCUAAUCUAAUGGACCGUCCUCGUUGAUUCCAUUCCUCCACCCGGCUCGGCGGCGACCGGAAUACUCCACGGCGCUCCCAGGCGGCGGCUUUCCCCUCCCUCACCGCUCACCCUCGGCCACUCCCUAUUCCUCUCCGCCCCUGCCCGCUCCGGCUCUCGCUGCCGCUGCCGCGGGGCGCCGCUAAGGGCACCCGAUAUAGGCGGAGGCGGCUGGCGAAUGGCCCGGUUCGCUAGGGCGUCCAAGGAUUCUGGGAAGCUUGAGAUGCUCCCGUCAAUCCAGCUUCGGGCACUGCGACUGCAAGAUCUACGGCUUCAACGACGACGUGGUGUCCGAUUUCGAUUUCGGAUGGAGACAAACAUGCGAGGUUCAUCAGAGCAUGGUUUUCUUCAGGAGUUCACUUCUCUCCCACCGUUUUAGUCGGCGUGUCUCUGAUACUAUUGGGACGUAAUUGAUGCAUUUUAUUUUGGAGAUGGAUAUGUUAGUGCCGAGCUACAAAACCUACUGUUGUUGUAGGCUUCCAGCUUCAGCGUGUUGAUAAUGGACACCACAAUCAUCAUAACAUCAGCCAUUCAGCAUGAAUUUACUUGUUGUAGGCUUCCAGCUUCAGCGUGUCGAUAAUGGACACCACAAUCAUCAUAACAUCAGCCAUUGGGCAUUAAUUUACUUGUUGUAGGCUUCCAGCUUCAGCAUGUCGAAAAAGGACACCACAAUCAUCAUAACAUUGACAACCUUAUCUACCGCUUUUCAUGAAUUUGGACAUGCUCUUGCAGCUGCAAGGUAUAUAUCUUAUCCGCCCGGACAUGCUCCUUUUUGGUUACAAUGUUGAGAUGCUCAUUUCUGAAUAUUCAACAGCGAGGGCGUGUCCAGAUGGAAUAUGUUGCAGUAUUCAUAGCUGGACCUUUUCCUAGGGCUUUAGUUGCUCUGAACUAUGACCAGCUGCAGAAUCUAACGUUUUUCUCAAUGCUUCGGAUUUAUUGUGCGGGGAUUUGGCAUAAUGUUAUGCUAUAGCGGCAGUCUUCAUCAGGUACCAUGAAGAUUGUCUUCGUCAGGGAAGACCCAAUCCAAUCCACCUCCACGCCUCAACAGCGCAGCGACCGCAUGCCACAGCUCCCGCGUCCCGCACCGCCGGCUAGCAGCGCCUGCCGCACCCUUGUGUCAGGUUGCAAGAUGGACGGGUCAUCCCGCCGCUCCGCCGUCAAACAAAAACCCGCAAAGCUGCCACAGGGCUGACUGCAUCAUCACAAACGGGUUCAAGCGGACACGCCGCAUUGUCCGGCGGGCGUCGCAACAUUCCGUGUAUGCUCCGUCCAAUGAAAAUACAGAGUAACUCGUACUACCAGCCUACUCUCUCCGAUCGGGAGAAUCCACAAGCAGCUAUCAAGCAAACUCUUCGUCACCGAUUCAACGAUUCAACUUGAUUGCAUGGAGUUAAACCGUA